ACCUGCUGGGCAGGAAGGGUUCAACAUUAGUGUGUCCCGAGCUUUUCCUGAAGCAUUUAGAGACCCCGGGAGCUCAUCCAGUGCAAUUCACACCUAGGAUCUAUGAGCAUCAAUGCUUCUCUUGUGGUGCAAUGAUCCCAAGUCCACAUUGGGCCUUCCCUCAAGCAAGAGAGCAGGCUGUAUCCAAACUGCAGGACCUGAGCUUUCUUUAUAACCUGUUUUUACUGUAUUAUGUUCAUGUACGAUUGUAGAAUCCUGAAGGUUGGAGAAGACCUCCAAGAUCAUUCAUCCUACUACACCCACCAACCACAUCCCUCAGUGCCACAUCCCCAUGGCUUUGGAACACCUCCAGUGAUGGUGACCCCUCCAGUCCCUGCAGUCUGUGCCAAUACUGCACCACUCUUUCAGAGAACAAAGUUUUCUCUAAUGUCCACCUUGAACCUCCUCUGGUUGAACUUGAGACCUUCACUUCUCUUUCUAUGUACAGAAAAUGACUUAAGGAAGGGUGGGGGAGGUGGGAUCAACCGGUAUUUCUGCCCCCAGAGCAGCAGAUCAAACCUCUGCUCUGGUCAGUAAAACUAGAAGUGGGAUGUUUCUGCUGCUCAAGGGCCACAUAGCACAGUGCCAGCCCAGCCCUGGGGUAACGUAUGACAAGGGUUGUCCUCCAUGGGGACCCCCAUAGAACCCAGCACUCAGCUCUUCAGGCACUAGAUGGAGCACGUGAGCUUCCCAUAAGAUGGACCCUCUGAGAAUCAGACAAUCCUUAAGGUUGGAAAAGACUGCAAAGAUCAUCUAGUCCAACCCACCACCAUGUGAGCACAUCCCCCACUGCCACAUCCCCAUGGUUCUGGGGCACCUCUGUGGAUGGUGACCCCCCUUUUUCCCCCCCAGGCAGCCUGUGCCAGUGCCUGACCAGCAGAUCCGAGGCUGGUUGUGCAGCUCUUGGUUUCAUCUAUUCAGUUCUGCCAUUGAGCCAGAGUACAGAGGGAGCAGCUGAACCCCUCUUUCCUCCUCCUUAGCAUGUAUGUGCAGUAGAUAGAUGCAUCUCAACAUAAGCACGCACAUCCCCAUUGAGUUCCAAGCUAAAACACAUUCUCAGCCAACCUGACCAAUCUUAAAUGCUGGGCCUGAAAGCUCAGUGGAACACCAGCUCCAAACUAACAUGCAUCCUCCAGUAGGUUCUUUGGCCUCCCUGUCUCUUGAAUGGGCAGCAAUGAGAAACCAUCUGCCUACACCCCAUCUCUAUCUAGACCUUUCCUCCUCCUCUUUCACAGCACUCACAGCCAGGCUCGCUGAUGGCCCAUUCCAACCCUUUAAACCCCAAUUUCACACCCAAAACCAGCUUUCCCAGCACUGUGCAUCACACACAGGGCUGCAUCCAUUGGUCCUGUCCUCACACCCUGCUUGGGGCCAUCCCAGCGCACACAGGGAUGAGGGUACGGCUGUUUCAGGGUUAAAAGCAAAGCCAGCAGGAAGCGAAGGGCCCGCUGGGAUUACAUAUGGAAGGAAGCAUGCACACAACACAGCCCGAAGCAAAGAGAGUGCGCAGUUGCACCGGGGAACCCAUUGCCAGCAUGGGAGUUACACAGCAAUUUAUAUCCUAAAGCUCUUUUGGGAGCAAACCUUAUGUUGAAAGGAAGUGCUGCCCCAAAGCCACAGUGUGAGCAAAGGGCUCAGAACUGCUCUUAACACACUCAAAGGUGCACAUAACACUGGAUGGGCGUUUAGAAUGGGAAGGUAUUUCUUUGCUUUAUUUCUUCCCCCCCACAUUUUUUCCUUUCUAAAGAUACCUUGAAACUGUUUCAUAGUGAGGUCAACGUUUGCCUUGUUCAUUCUGAAAGAAAACAGAUACAGGGAGUAGUCCUCUUGCAAGCAACCCGCUGCCCACAACGCUCACAUCCUCAGCCUAAAUAUGCUUCAUUUCUGCACAAAAUGGCCCAAAAAAAAAAUCUCAGCCCGGGGCACUGGGCUGUGAUGAGCAUUGCAGACUAUAGCAAAGAGAUGGAGAAAUUCCUCCUGUUCUUCAUUUAGGUGUGAGAUGUUGGGUGAAUCGAUAACACGGGGUGGCAAUAGGUCCAGAUACCAGCGAUGGAAUGUGCAAUAGAUUGUAUCCUCUCUUGCAGCCCUCCAGCCCAGCCCUAAGAGGGGACGCCCCGUGCCAGCGUGGCAUCCCAUAUCGCUCAACGGGGGCUCUCAGGGACCGGCCAGGACCAGGACUAUGGAGCAAAUGCUGCUAAUUCCAUGCCGUUAGAAGGAGCGACGUUUGUGUGCAGAAAUACCUGAACAAACUGCAUCUCCAGCUGGCGGCUUCCCUGGGCGCUGUGCAUCCGGGCAGGUGAAGUGGUGCUGAUCUGUACCAGCUCAGGAACCAGGAGAGCUCCUUCAAGCUCCCAGCAGCAGCUGCUUUCCUCUGCCAGGUUUUGGAUUGCUCCACCUUCAAUCCCUUCUGUCAAAUCACUUCCCGGCUGUUUGUGCUCCUCAUUCCUCCGUUCUAUGAGAAAACCAACCAAAAAGAAGCAAGCAAGCAAUUCAGUUUGCAGCUGCAUCAGCCCCACAAACACCAGGGCCACCUCUUGGCUGCAGGAGCCAGGUCACAAUGAGGUCUCACUGGAGCCUUCUCUUCUCCAAGGCACACUAUACUUCAGCUGGCAUACUGUAUCUCUGCCUGUUGAAAACACACCGACAAAGAGCUGCUGUAUGGAUCUGAAGGGAAAGCCUGGCUGAAAAGCAAAGGUGGGCUGGAUUACUGGGAAAUGCAGGGAAGCCAAAUGAUGCAACCCUGACGCAUUCUUGCAGAGCAACGUUGGGGCGAGUGUCAUCCGUGAGCGUUUUGCUCUGGAUGUGAAGUAGCUGCACCUCCAACUACACCUCCACCUUAAUGACUUUUCCAGGCUCAGAUCUGCAUCCCAGCAGAGCUGCAGGGUUGGUGCUGCUCACGGUGCAGAGCUGCGUUCGCGCCUCUGGGAGAACUGUGUUAAAUUUAGAAGCAAAAGCCACGGCAAGAUUUCCAUUUUCCUUCUUUUAUUACUUGCAGGGAGGAAUGCUGCUGAUCGUCCAGCGAACCUUUCCCUGCUUCCCAUCUCAGAAUUAACCCCAGCUGCCUGCAGCCUUUGCUGAAAGCAUAGAAAUGCAUCCAUAUGCAAACGUUUCUUUGCUUUCUCUUUGCAAAUCACCCUCUGGCCAUUGGAUGUGGCGUGUCUUGCAAAACACGUGGCCAAACCUACUUGUGCUCAGCUGUCCUGGCAGCAGGAGCUUUGGCAAGUAUCUGUUCCUAGAGUUCAUUAGCUGCUAUGGGCGCUGACAGGCAUUUUGGCCACUGCAGGGAAACACACCCUGGCUUUUCUCUCCUUCCCUAUGUCAGUGUAGAGACCAGGGGUUAUAUUCAUUCAUAACACACCGAUGGAGAUGGAGCCCUGUUGCUUACAGAAGCCUUGAGCCUAAGAAGGUUUCCCAUCUUCCCAAAUGGGUCCAGAAGCUCAUGGGGCUCUCAGGCACUCGGAUACUUGUGGCUGCUGGAAGAGCGACAAAUGCAGCCCAUGGAGAUGGUCUCAGCAGCUGUGAGCUGGAACAUCUGACUCAUCACACAGCAAGGUCUGCAGCUGCAGAUUCCGGGUUUUGUAAAGCUAAGUGAGGCUGAUUGCCUUAAGGGUUGGGGAAACUGAGGCAUGGAGUGCAAGGCUGGAACAGAGCAGAAGCUGGGUGUCCUGUGCUGUGAAACCUGUGCUGGUUUGUGCUGCAUCCCUACUCCAAAAGGAUGCUGAGUGCUUUACAGGGGGUCACAGAGGCAUCUCCUCCAUCCAUCCACAGACCUGGCAGGCUGUGUGGUCCCUGACAGCCACAGAGAAGCUUCUACAUCUCAUCUUCUCUCCCACUCCUGCUCAGUCUGCAUCAACCCCAGGCAUGGACAGACUCCUGCUCUGUGUUUUGCAGCACCGCAGUCAGUGCCCAUUCUCCAAUGUGAAUGCCCAGCUUUGCUUCAACCCUCUUCACCUCCACCCCUGAGGCUGCCGGGCAGCAGCACAGCUCAUGCUCCUGGCCAAUGCACAGCAAAUGAAACCUCUCUUCCAUUGCACCCGUGGCACGCAAAAACCUGUUUCAAAGCCUGGAGGAGGCGUCGGCGCUGACGGACUCGGGUUUUGCACACAAGGUCCCUUGUUCAGCAUAGAGCAGAGGUGGCCAGGCAGGCAGGAGAGAGGUACAGUGGGAGGAGGUGAUGAAUGGGGACCGUUGUCUCACCCCAAUCACCUCCAGGGGAACGCUGGGUGUUUGCCAGCCGUGCACAAAUGGAGCCCGUCUUUCUAAACUGUUUGCACUCCUGGAUUUCUGUUGGCUUCCAGGUCAAGUCUCAUAUCCCCCUGUCAUUCCUCUUGGUUUGAAUCCGAUGUGGUUAAAAGAUAUGUAUGGAUUGAAGCCUCUCAGAACCGCCCUCCUCCUCUCCUACGUGGUUCUGGCUCGGCCCCAUCCAGCUGGGGUUUAUUUCAAGCUCAUUCGCUGCCCGAACAUAGAGAAGAAGCAGCAAAGAAUGCAAGGCAGCUCCAGAGCCUCGAAUAGGUCAGGACACGGACCAAGGGCUGCGCUUCAUUUAAAGGGAUACGCUCAAACCCAAAACUGCUGACAUCUCUGCUAUCUGUUGCUGAUGGUCCUACCCAGCAGCACCAUUGACUGCAGUGUCCAAAGUCAUAGAAUCAUAGAAUCAUAGAAUUAACCAGGUUGGAAAAGACCUUGAAGAUCAUCAAGUCCAACCUCAGCCUAACCAGUACCCUGACUCUAAAAACCCUACACUAAAGUAGUGCCUCAUCUCCAGGCCAAGGUUUAUUCUCUCUCAUUUUUAUUCCUGCUUGUUUUAUCAACUUCUCAAGGUUGUGUUUUUUAAGCUGUUUCCCAUUCUCUAGUUGGACACAGUGCCAGAAGUUGGGGAAAACCCAUUUCUCCACUUCCCCUUCAAUACAUGGGUCUCUCCCAAGGGACGGGAACCACUUGGCAUGAAGCUGAGUCACCAUCCCUGGAGAUGUUCAAGAACCAUGAAGAUGUUGAGAUAAAGGACUUGGUUCAGUGAGGAAAUGGUGGUGGGUGGUUGGACUGGAUGGCCUUGGAGGUCCUUUCCUAUGGAAAUUCUAUGAUUUUAUGAAAGAUCUGGAUUUUUCCCCAUGUAAAUAAUUGCUGAGAGUGAUCUGAGGAGCAAAGCUGACCUCAGUGGUGGGGAAGUCUCCUGUGCUUGAUUCAUUGCAAACAUUGAAUUCAAUGGGAAUUGAGAUGUACCUUGCAGAGCAGGAGCUGAGAUGGAGUGGGAAGUAAAGGUGAGGAUGCAGCAGUGAGGAGGGGCUGAUGGGGCACUGUGUGAGUGCUGGGGGCUCACGUUUCCAGCCUGCACUGUAAAGUUGAUGGGAAGCUCUUAGUCCAACCUCACAAAAACAAACUGGUGUGACCAGCACCCCUGCGUCUGGGAAGCCACGGAUGGGAUCACCAAGGUCACAAAAGGAUGGUGUAGAGUUGGUGCAAAUAAGGCUUUGUGGACAUCAGGUGUUGGAGGAGCAAGGAGACAUCACUGCACCGUGUUGUGGUUCUGUAGGGCCUUAUGGUCUGUGUUUUCCUGUUAGCUGAACAAUCUCAGUGCUCUUGUUUCACAUAGGCAGAAAAUGUAUCCUAAUGCCACCUACCACCUCACUGCCCUUGGGGUUGAGUCAAGUCAAAAGCCUCCCAUAGCCUUUAUGGCUAUUGGGGUUCCUCUCGUCUUACCCAGCCCCAGUCUCAUACCCCAGAUCCUGCCCUAGGAAUGCACUUUUCGCUCCAUGUGCUGGUGGACAGCAGCUUCCCAUGCUUCCAAAAUGAUAGAAAACCACACCAACUGCACAAUUCCUCUGCUCCAAGCUCCUUCUGAUCCCUGGCAGGGCUGACAAAUGGGAAAAUAAUUAUAUUUAGAAGGAUUUUCCGGGCUAGAAGUGUCAGUGAAGCGUAUGGAAAAGGCUGCAGUGAAGAAGGAGAGAGGAGCGGAAAUAAAUAGAUUUAAAAAUAGAAAGGACAGAGGAGAUGAGGCUGGAGGAGAUGCAGAUGCUAACAGAGAGCUGUGAGGACAGUCUAGUUAUUCACAUAGACCCUAUUGCCAUGCGGGUGGCAAUCAGCAAACAGCCCAGGGCAGAUUCAGUCCCCAGUGCCAUCAGUGGCAUGGCUGGUUUGGCCCCCAGGGUUCCCAUGCAUAGCUCUGAACUGCAUGCCAGGAAAUCAUAGAACCAUAGAAUAGCCUGGGUUUGAAAAGGACCACAAUGAUCAUCUGGUUUCAACCCCCUGCUAUUUGUGGGGUCACCAACCAGCAGCCCGGGCUGCCCAGAGCCAUCCCAUAUUUCUUUUUCAGGUUUAGUUUUAAAAGCUUUGGUCCAUGCUGCUAUUCCACAGGAGGACAGGGAGAGGGAGCCCGUCCCCUUCUUUGGCCUUGGGAGAAGCAGUAGGAUCCCAUCCUCUUGCAGAGAGCAAUCUUAGAAUCAUAGAAUCGUGGUAUCAUUAAGGUUGGAAAACCUGGAAUGGGUUCAUUGGCACAGGUUGCCCAGAGAGGUGGUGGUGCCCCAU